UGCGCCAUUUCCUGCUCUCCCGGGCCGUCCCCCCGGCCUUGGAACGGAAAACCGCGCCUGAAACAGACGAUUAGCAGAAAAGCUCUUUCGGCCACGUUGUCCCGGGAAAAGGAGGAAAAGCCCAGAACGUGAAAGACGCCCACCGCUCCGUGAGAUGUGUUCCCUGACACCAGAGGUGGUCCGGGGUCACACCGUCGGGAGGGAGCAGAGUCAGGAUUUGAACCCAGGCAGCCGACCUGACCCCACCACCCCGACCCACGGCGCCGCGCCUGGAGCACAGGCCUUACUAACCCAAGGAUCGGUGGAGUCUACACGAGGGAAGCCCCAAGAACGGCAAUUUGACCCUGGGGGGCGCGGAGGGCGCAGGACGAAGGGGGGCAGGGUCGGACACACGCAGGUUUGCUGCCCACCCC